AUAACGAGUCCGCUACAAUUAUCACGACGCGAGUGACAAAAGUGGGUGAUAGGUUUUGGAAAAAGAGAGCUUACAAUCUUUCCAUUCGAACGAGGUAUCGGUAUCACAUUAUCCAUCACUGGGAACUGUUAACUGCACCAGAUUAAAAUACAGCGUGAAAAUAAUGAAAAGCUCUCAACCUACUGAUGGAAAAAGAGAGAACCCAAUAAAGAUUCGGCUAUAAUCAAUAAAAUCUGAAGAGAGGUGAAAAGCUUACCUUUUUUCGAAGUGGGAGGAUUUGUUAUGGAUCGUUUUUGCAACAAAAUAUGCAAGAUAUUUCAAUUCGAAAAACUCGAAACACAUAGGCAACAAUUCUAAAUAAAUUAGUACUUAUAAGCAAACACAAUUCCUUAUCAGCCAUGGUAAAUGCUUUAUAACAUUGUUAACUUACUAAUUUAUAAUGAUUGAGAAACAAUAGCUUCAAAAAAUAUAAAUGUACCUACAACAGAAA